AGUGAACGCUGGCGGUAGGCCUAACACAUGCAAGUCGAACGGCAGCACAGUAAGAGCUUGCUCUUACGGGUGGCGAGUGGCGGACGGGUGAGGAAUACAUCGGAAUCUACUUUUUCGUGGGGGAUAACGUAGGGAAACUUACGCUAAUACCGCAUACGACCAACGGGUGAAAGCAGGGGAUCUUCGGACCUUGCGCGAUUGAAUGAGCCGAUGUCGGAUUAGCUAGUUGGCGGGUAAAGGCCCACCAAGGCGACGAUCCGUAGCUGGUCUGAGAGGAUGAUCAGCCACACGGGAACUGAGCCACGGUCCAGACUACUACGGGAGGCAGCAGUGGGGAAUAUUGGACAAUGGGCGCAAGCCUGAUCCAGCCGUACCGCGUGGGUGAAGAAGGCCUUCGGGUUGUAAAGCCCUUUUGUUGGGAAAGAAAAGCAGCAGGUUAAUACCCCGCUGUUCUGACGGUACCCAAAGAAUAAGCACCGGCUAACUUCGUG
rnacentral:rRNA from 1 species